UACGUAGGGUGCGAGCGUUGUCCGGAAUUACUGGGCGUAAAGGGUGCGUAGGUGGUUCGUUAAGUCUGAUGUGAAAGCCCUGGGCUCAACCUGGGAAUUGCAUUGGAUACUGGCGGGCUAGAGUGCGGUAGAGGGUAGUGGAAUUCCCGGUGUAGCAGUGAAAUGCGUAGAUAUCGGGAGGAACAUCCGUGGCGAAGGCGACUGCCUGGACCAGCACUGACACUGAGGCACGAAAGCGUGGGGAGCAAACAGGAUUAGAUACCCGUGUA
rnacentral:rRNA from 1 species